rnacentral:rRNA from 1 species
UACGGAGGGGACUAGCGUUGUUCGGAAUUACUGGGCGUAAAGCGUACGUAGGCGGCUUUGUAAGUUAGAGGUGAAAGCCCGGAGCUCAACUCCGGAAUUGCCUUUAAGACUGCAUCGCUUGAAUCAUGGAGAGGUUAGUGGAAUUCCGAGUGUAGAGGUGAAAUUCGUAGAUAUUCGGAAGAACACCAGUGGCGAAGGCGACUAACUGGACAUGUAUUGACGCUGAGGUACGAAAGCGUGGGGAGCAAACGGG